CCUAACCCUAAUUUCUGAAAAGGCUACUACAAUAGGAACAAAUCCCAUUGUGGUAGAUUCUAAAUGAACAAAUAAAAGGUAAAACGAUCAGAUCCAACAAAGCAUCUUGUUUUCUAGAAUCAGACAAAGCACUCAGGAUCGUACAUAGCUAUUCACAAUCAAUUGACAUAUUUCACAGGAUCUUGUAUUGACUGAUAUGUCUUCCAUCUUUUUCUAAGCACAAAUCUAAACAUAACACUUUCUUUAAAAUUCACUAGAUAGAUACAGUAACAUUAUAGAGCUAUAAACAUACCUCGUCAUUACUAGAAGUAGGAAAAUACUUAACUUACUGGUGUUCUUCUUUAACAGUUCAGUAGAUGGCUUCUUUCAACAAAAAGAUCUUCUAUAAAGAAGAGAGAGAGAGAGAGAGAGAGAGAGCGGGCGAGCGAUUAAUGGAGAGACGAAUGAAUGAAAAAGGAAAAAAUCCCGGAAAAAUAUUUAUGGAUUUAGCUUUAAAAAAAAAAAAGGAGAGCAGAAAUUACGGAAGAGAAGCUGUAUUUAGGGAAGAAGAUGGGUGAUAUGACGGGUCGCUGUCUUCAUGAGAGUCAGAGAAAGCGAUGGCAUCUACAAAUCUGGAAAAAGAGAAGAGAAAAAUUAUACUUUUU
rnacentral:lncRNA from 1 species